UGGGGAAUAUUGGACAAUGGGCGAAAGCCUGAUCCAGCCAUGCCGCGUGUGUGAAGAAGGUCUUCGGAUUGUAAAGCACUUUAAGUUGGGAGGAAGGGCAGUAAGCGAAUACCUUGCUGUUUUGACGUUACCGACAGAAUAAGCACCGGCUAACUCUGUGCCAGCAGCCGCGGUAAUACAGAGGGUGCAAGCGUUAAUCGGAAUUACUGGGCGUAAAGCGGGCGUAGGUGGUUCGUUAAGUUGAAUGUGAAAGCCCCGGGCUCAACCUGGGAACUGCAUCCAAAACUGGCGAGCUGGAGUAGGGCAGAGGGUGGUGGAAUUUCCUGUGGAGCGGUGAAAUGCGUAGAUAUAGGAAGGAACACCAGUGGCGAAGGCGACCACCUGGGCUCAUACUGACACUGAGGUGCGAAAGCGUGGGGAGCAAACAGG
rnacentral:rRNA from 1 species